AAGUCGUAACAAGGUUUCCGUAGGUGAACCUGCGGAAGGAUCAUUAAAGUAUAAUAUAGUCUAUUGUAGCUUUGGUUACAGUAGUACUUAUUACUCUGUGAACUUGGAAUAGUGAUACCUAUUGGAACAGUCGUUCCUCUGGUUGAACUAUAAAAUUAUUCUUUUAAUGUCAAUAACUUAUAUUUAAUAUAAAUACAACUUUUAACAAUGGAUCUCUUGGCUCCU
rnacentral:misc_RNA from 1 species